UACGUAGGGUGCGAGCGUUACUCGGAAUUACUGGGCGUAAAGCGUGCGCAGGCGGUUCGUUAUGUCUGGUGUGAAAGCCCCGGGCUUAACCUGGGAAUUGCAUUGGAAACUAGCGGGCUGGAGUGUGGCAGAGGGGGGUGGAAUUCCACGUGUAGCAGUGAAAUGCGUAGAGAUGUGGAGGAACACCGAUGGCGAAGGCAGCCCCCUGGGCUAACACUGACGCUCAUGCACGAAAGCGUGGGGAGCAAACAGG
rnacentral:rRNA from 1 species